rnacentral:piRNA from 1 species
UAUGAAGGGUGAUUCGCUUCAGCCUGUGU